CACGGAGGUUUUCAGAGAUGAGAAUGUGCCUUCGGGAACCGUGAGACAGGUGCUGCAUGGCUGUCGUCAGCUCGUGUUGUGAAAUGUUGGGUUAAGUCCCGCAACGAGCGCAACCCUUAUCCUUUGUUGCCAGCGGUCCGGCCGGGAACUCAAAGGAGACUGCCAGUGAUAAACUGGAGGAAGGUGGGGAUGACGUCAAGUCAUCAUGGCCCUUACGACCAGGGCUACACACGUGCUACAAUGGCGCAUACAAAGAGAAGCGACCUCGCGAGAGCAAGCGGACCUCAUAAAGUGCGUCGUAGUCCGGAUUGGAGUCUGCAACUCGACUCCAUGAAGUCGGAAUCGCUAGUAAUCGUGGAUCAGAAUGCCACGGUGAAUACGUUCCCGGGCCUUGUACACACCGCCCGUCACACCAUGGGAGUGGGUUGCAAAAGAAGUAGGUAGCUUAACCUUCGGGAGGGCGCUUACCACUUUGUGAUUCAUGACUGGGGUGAAGUCGUAACAAGGUAACCGUAGGGGAACCUGCGGUUGGAUCACCUCCUUACCUUAAAGAAGC
rnacentral:rRNA from 1 species